rnacentral:rRNA from 1 species
CAAUAGUGUAUCUUAAUGUUGUUGCUGUUAAAAAGCUCGUAGUUGAAUUUCUGGCGUUAGGUCGACCUCCGGGAAGACCUAAUGUCAUCCACUCUGAAAGCUCGUACAUCGCAAGAUUGCGGGUCGAAGGGGUUUUUUACUUUGAAGAAAUUAGAGUGUUCCAGGCAAGCGAUGCUUGAAUAUUACAGCAUGGAAUAAUGGAAUAGGAUCAUCCAUUUCGUUGGUUAAUGGACUGAUAAUGAUUAACAGGGACAGUUGGGGGCAUUCGUACUGGUAGUCAGCGGUAAAAUGCUAUGACCUGCUCAAGACGCACUAAUGCGAAGGCAUUUGCCAAGGAUGUUUUCAUUAA